rnacentral:rRNA from 1 species
AGAGUUUGAUCAUGGCUCAGAAUCAACGCUGGCGGCGCGCCUAACACAUGCAAGUCGAACGAGAAAGCGGGGGCAACCUCGUGAGUAAAGUGGCGUACGGGUGAGUAACACGUGGAUUAUCUACCCUGGAGUGGGGAAUAACGCUGGGAAACCGGCGCUAAUACCGCAUAUUCCCGAGAGGGGAAAGCAGCAAUGCGCUCGAGGAGGAGUCCGCGGCCGAUUAGCUAGUUGGCAGGGUAAAAGCCUACCAAGGCUGUGAUCGGUAGCCGGCCUGAGAGGGCACACGGCCACACUGGCACUGAAACACGGGCCAGACUCCUACGGGAGGCAGCAGUGGGGAAUCUUGCACAAUGGGGGAAACCCUGAUGCAGCGACGCCGCGUGAGCGAUGAAGCCCUUCGGGGUGUAAAGCUCUUUCGGCAGGGAAGAUCAUGACGGUACCUGCAGAAGCAGCUGCGGCUAACUACGUGCCAGCAGCCGCGGUAAUACGUAGGCAGCAAGCGUUGUUCGGAGUUACUGGGCGUAAAGGGUGUGUAGGCGGCUUUCUAAGUUUGGUGUGAAAUCUCCCGGCUCAACCGGGAGGGUGCGCCGAAAACUGGAGGGCUAGAGUGCGGGAUGGGAGAGUAGAAUUCCUGGUGUAGCGGUGAAAUGCGUAGAUAUCAGGAGGAAUACCGGUGGUGUAGACGGCUCUCUGGACCGCAACUGACGCUGAAACACGAAAGCGUGGGUAGCAAACAGGAUUAGAUACCCUGGUAGUCCACGCCCUAAACGAUGCAUAUUUGGUGUAGGUCAUUCAGUUGAUCUGUGCCGGAGCUAACGCGUUAAAUAUGCCGCCUGGGGAGUACAGUCGCAAGGCUGAAACUCAAAGGAAUUGACGGGGGCCCGCACAAGCGGUGGAGCAUGUGGUUCAAUUCGACGCAACGCGAAGAACCUUACCUGGGCUCGAACGGCUGGUCAACGAUCGUGGAAAC